UACGGAGGGUGCUAGCGUUGUUCGGAAUUACUGGGCGUAAAGAGCGUGUAGGCGGCCAGGUAGGUCUGCUGUGAAAACUCGAGGCUCAACCUCGAGACGUCGGCGGAAACCAUCUGGCUAGAGUCCGGAAGAGGAGAGUGGAAUUCCUGGUGUAGCGGUGAAAUGCGCAGAUAUCAGGAAGAACACCCGUGGCGAAGGCGGCUCUCUGGGACGGUACUGACGCUGAGACGCGAAAGCGUGGGGAGCGAACAGG
rnacentral:rRNA from 1 species